AGCCAUGCCGCGUGCAGGAAGACGGCCUUACGGGUUGUAAACUGCUUUUAUACCGGGAAGAAUAAUACCCACGUGUGGGUAGAUGACGGUACCGUAAGAAUAAGGACCGGCUAACUCCGUGCCAGCAGCCGCGGUAAUACGGAGGGUCCGAGCGUUAUCCGGAAUUAUUGGGUUUAAAGGGUCCGCAUGCGGGUCAGUAAGUCAGGGGUGAAAGUUUGCGGCUUAACCGUAAAAUUGCCUUUGAUACUGCUGGUCUUGAGUUGCGGUGAAGUGGCUGGAAUAUGUGGUGUAGCGGUGAAAUGCAUAGAUAUCACAUAGAACACCGAUUGCGAAGGCAGGUCACUAACCGCCGACUGACGCUGAUGGACGAAAGCGUGGGGAGCGAACGGGAUUAGAUACCCCGGUAGUCCACGCCGUAAACGAUGGACACUAGCUGUCGGGCCGAUUUAGGUUCGGUGGCUAAGCGAAAGUGAUAAGUGUCCCACCUGGGGAGUACGUCGGCAACGAUGAAACUCAAAGGAAUUGACGGGGGCCCGCACAAGCGGUGGAGCAUGUGGUUUAAUUCGAUGAUACGCGAGGAACCUUACCAGGGCUUAAAUGUAGUGGGACAGGCUUAGAGAUAGGCUUUUCUUCGGACUCAUUACAAGGUGCUGCAUGGUUGUCGUCAGCUCGUGCCGUGAGGUGUCAGGUUAAGUCCUAUAACGAGCGCAACCCCUACCGUUAGUUGCCAGCGAGUAAAGUCGGGGACUCUAACGGAACUGCCGGUGCAAACCGCGAGGAAGGUGGGGAUGACGUCAAAUCAUCACGGCCCUUACGUCCUGGGCUACACACGUGCUACAAUGGCCGGUACAAUGAGCAGCCACGUCGCAAGGCGGAGCGAAUCUAUAAAACCGGUCACAGUUCGGAUCGGGGUCUGCAACCCGACCCCGUGAAGCUGGAAUCGCUAGUAAUCGGAUAUCAGCCAUGAUCCGGUGAUACGUUCCCGGGCCUUGGACACACCGCCCGUCAAGCCAUGGAAGCCGGGAGUGCCUGAAGUCCGUCACCGCAAGG
rnacentral:rRNA from 1 species